rnacentral:lncRNA from 1 species
UGUGCAUUCCGAGCUUCACUUCUUGUAUGUGUAGUUUGUUAACUAAGCAGGUUAUUCUUGUAUUGAAACUUUGGGUGAGAGAACGCUAGGUUUCAGAGUAAUGGAUCCUCUGGACUAUACUCUUGAGUGGUUAAGUGUGAACUACGAAUUUAAAGAGGAAUGGGUCCUUUGAAUGCAGUUGAUUUGUUUUAGUUGGGGAUGGUCUUCAAAUUUGAGCUUGGGCUAAGACAGAAAAGGUACAUUACAUUGCUACCUUUUUGUUAUUCUUUCUUCUUUGGUUGACGUAAAUGUUUUCUUGUCGGCACAACAUUUUUAUCCAGAUGAAACAAAAAGCAUGUACAUAGCUGCCCUCAUUAUAUUGAUUACUAGCUUAGGUUGGACAAUCAAUUUCAAAUGGAGUCUGACAUAUAAAACGGGGGUCUAGGGGCUUUCUUGGUUUUUUUUUUUGUUUUUUGUUUUUUUUUGUUUGGGGUCUGAUAGGGGCUUUCUUGUUUAGGUUUCAUGAAUUUGUGGUUUUUUUCCCCUGGCGAUUCCCAUUUUUGUUUUUGUUUUUUGGAUAAAUCUGAUUGGAACUGGCUAUGGGAUCCCAUUUCAUUUCGUCUAUUUUCAUAACAUAUUUUUUGAUUGUUUUUUAAUGAACAAUAUAUUACACAAGAGUUUGAAAUGUCGCCGCCUGUGACUAAUAAAACAUAUAAUAAAAUUAAUAUUUCUCCUUGCAAAUGACGUCCAGUUUGAAAUCUACACCUGACCAACAAAACACACAAUAAAUUUAAUAUUAGGUAAAUUACUCAAAUGGUCAUCAAUCUUAUACCUAAUUUAUAUUUUGGUCCUUUAAUUAAAUUAUUUGUUCAAAUGAUCCAUCAACUCUAUAUUAUUCGC